UGGGGAAUAUUGCACAAUGGGCGGAAGCCUGAUGCAGCGACGCCGCGUGAGGGAUGACGGCCUUCGGGUUGUAAACCUCUUUCAGUGCAGAACAAGGCUCUUUGUGGGUAGUGGGUAUGCGCAGAAGAAGCGCCGGCUAACUACGGGCCAGCAGCCGCGGUAAUACGUAGGGCGCGAGCGUUGUCCGGAUUUAUUGGGCGUAAAGAGCUCGUAGGCGGUUUGUCGCGUCUGCUGUGAAAUCCUCUGGCUUAACUGGGGGCGUGCAGUGGGUACGGGCAGACUGGAGUGAGGUAGGGGAGACUGGAAUUCCUGGUGUAGCGGUGGAAUGCGCAGAUAUCAGGAGGAACACCGGUGGAGAAGGCGGGUCUCUGGGCCGUUACUGACGCUGAGGAGCGAAAGCAUGGGGAGCGAA
rnacentral:rRNA from 1 species